rnacentral:lncRNA from 1 species
UUUAAAAAAAGAAGUUACUGAAAAAUAAAAUAAAAUAAAAUAAAAUACUCUAAAAAAAAAAAAAAGAAUUGUCAUCUUCCAAACCUUAGACAUGGCCAGACAUCCCCAGUGGGCUGCCAAAUCCUGUCACCGUGUGCCUUCCUUAAUCCAACCAGGAACUGUGUUUUACCUUUCUACCCCACACUCCUCCCAAGAUGCUCAACCUUGGUUUCAUCAUUGUACAGAUGGCUGCAGACUCAGUUGUCCAACAUUCCCCUGGGGUGAGCUGAUGACCUGAACCCUAAGAACGCUCGAUUUGAGAACAAUGUGAUUUAGUGUUGUUUUUAAAGACACUAAGUUUUGCGGUGCUUUAUGAAAAGCAAUGGCCAGCUUGGAGAGUGAAGUGGCAAUGGGGGUCAUUGAAGCUCAACUGCUGUGGUCUUCCCAUCCUUCAAGGUCAAGGGCACUCAUCUGAUGUGUAGCCUGGGGGCAGCAACAGAGACUAAAAAUCCAGGGAAUCAAAUGAGGCAGUUCACAGCCAGGGAAGAGACUUCCAUAGGGAUGAGGACUAAGGCAGAUAACUCCAGGAUAAAAUAAAAGUGACUGCACUUUCUUGCACUGCUUGGAGUCGGCUACCAAGUAUGCUCAAGCAUUGCUAAGAGUAUCCUGAUGGACGGAUGCAAAAAAACAG